UCCGGUUUAGCACCGGCAGUCUUCCCAGAGUCCUCAGCAUUACCCGUUAGCAACUGGGAACGGGGGUUGCGCUCGUUGCGGGACUUAACCCAACAUCUCACGACACGAGCUGACGACAGCCAUGCAGCACCUCGACUAGUGUCCCUUGCGGGAAAAACGACUUUCGCCGCCUGUCACUAGCCGUUCGAGCCCAGGUAAGGUUCUUCGCGUUGCGUCGAAUUAAACCACAUACUCCACCGCUUGUGCGGGCCCCCGUCAAUUCCUUUGAGUUUCAGUCUUGCGACCGUACUCCCCAGGCGGGAUGCUUAACGCGUUAGCUGCGGCACCCGGGGACUAUAAAACCCCAGACACCAAGCAUCCAUCGUUUAAGGCCAGGACUAC
rnacentral:misc_RNA from 1 species